CACAUGACUCUGCGAAGUCAAUCAAGACGAUGUAUAGGGUCUGACACCUGCCCGGUGCCGGAAGGUUAAGAGGAGAGGUCAGCGCAAGCGAAGCUUUGAAUCGAAGCCCCGGUAAAACGGCGGCCGUAAACUAUAACGGUCCUAAGGUAGCGAAAUUCCUUGUCGGGUAAGUUCCGACCUGCACGAAUGGUGUAACGAUUUGGGCGCUGUCUCAGCUACGGGCUCGGUGAAAUUGUGGUACCGGUGAAGACGCCGGUUACCCGCAUAUGGACGGAAAGACCCCGUGCACCUUUACUGCACCCUAAUAUUGGGUUCGGUUAAAGCAUGUGUAGGAUAGUUGGGAGACUGUGAAGCUGGUACGCUAGUAUCGGUGGAGUCAACGGUGAAAUACCAACCUUGUUUUAAUUGGAUUCUAACCUCGAUCCGUGAAUCCGGGUCAGGGACAGUGUUAGGCGGGUAGUUUGACUGGGGC
rnacentral:rRNA from 1 species